rnacentral:rRNA from 1 species
GUGUGACUGCGUACCUUUUGUAUAAUGGGUCAGCGACUUAUAUUCUGUAGCAAGGUUAACCGAAUAGGGGAGCCGGAGGGAAACCGAGUCUUAAUUGGGCGUUAAGUUGCAGGGUAUAGACCCGAAACCCGGUGAUCUAGCCAUGGGCAGGUUGAAGGUUGGGUAACACUAACUGGAGGACCGAACCGACUAAUGUUGAAAAAUUAGCGGAUGACCUGUGGCUGGGGGUGAAAGGCCAAUCAAACCGGGAGAUAGCUGGUUCUCCCCGAAAGCUAUUUAGGUAGCGCCUCGUGAAUUCAUCUCCGGGGGUAGAGCACUGUUUCGGCUAGGGGGCCAUCCCGGCUUACCAACCCGAUGCAAACUGCGAAUACCGGAGAAUGUUAUCACGGGAGACACACGGCGGGUGCUAACGUCCGUCGUGAAGAGGGAAACAACCCAGACCGCCAGCUAAGGUCCCAAAGUCAUGGUUAAGUGGGAAACGAUGUGGGAAGGCCCAGACAGCCAGGAUGUUGGCUUAGAAGCAGCCAUCAUUUAAAGAAAGCGUAAUAGCUCACUGGUCGAGUCGGCCUGCGCGGAAGAUGUAACGGGGCUAAACCAUGCACCGAAGCUGCGGCAGCGACGCUGAUGCGUUGUUGGGUAGGGGAGCGUUCUGUAAGCCUGCGAAGGUGGCCUGUGAGGGUUGCUGGAGGUAUCAGAA